rnacentral:rRNA from 1 species
AUUGAACGCUGGCGGAAGGCUUAACACAUGCAAGUCGAGCGAGUGGCGGACGGGUGAGUAAUGUCUGGGAAACUGCCUGAUGGAGGGGGAUAACUACUGGAAACGGUAGCUAAUACCGCAUACCAUCAGAUGGGCCCAGAUGGGAUUAGCUAGUAGGGGGGGUAAUGGCUCACCUAGGCGACGAUCCGUAGCUGGUCUGAGAGGAGGACCAGCCACACGGCAACUGAGACACGGUGCAGACUCCUACGGGAGGCAGCAGUGGGGAAUCUUGGACAAUGGGCGACAGCCUGAUGCAGCGAUGCCGCGUGUGUGAGUAAGGCCUUCGGGUUGUAUAGCACUUUCGGCGAGGAGGCGUAAUCCGCAGAAGAAACACCGGCUAACUCCUUGCCAGCAGCCGCGGUAAUAC